rnacentral:rRNA from 1 species
AAUGCCUAGGAAUCUGCCUGGUAGUGGGGGAUAACGUUCGGAAACGGACGCUAACACCGCAUACGUCCUACGGGAGAAAGCAGGGGACCUUCGGGCCUUGCGCUAUCAGAUGAGCCUAGGUCGGAUUAGCUAGUUGGUGAGGUAAUGGCUCACCAAGGCGACGAUCCGUAACUGGUCUGAGAGGAUGAUCAGUCACACUGGAACUGAGACACGGUCCAGACUCCUACGGGAGGCAGCAGUGGGGAAUAUUGGACAAUGGGCGAAAGCCUGAUCCAGCCAUGCCGCGUGUGUGAAGAAGGUCUUCGGAUUGUAAAGCACUUUAAGUUGGGAGGAAGGGUUGUAGAUUAAUACUCUGCAAUUUUGACGUUACCGACAGAAUAAGCACCGGCUAACUCUGUGCCAGCAGCCGCGGUAAUACAGAGGGUGCAAGCGUUAAUCGGAAUUACUGGGCGUAAAGCGCGCGUAGGUGGUUUGUUAAGUUGGAUGUGAAAUCCCCGGGCUCAACCUGGGAACUGCAUUCAAAACUGACUGACUAGAGUAUGGUAGAGGGUGGUGGAAUUUCCUGUGUAGCGGUGAAAUGCGUAGAUAUAGGAAGG